rnacentral:RNase_P_RNA from 1 species
GCGGCAGCCGGAUGGUCCGGCUGCUGAGGAAAGUCCGAGCACGGCAGGACACGCUGGUGGGUAACGCCCACCCGAUCGGGGACGGAGCAAUUCGGAGCCCGGUCGAGGGAAAGUGCCACAGAGAUUGAACCGCCGAUGGCCUCGCGAAAGCGGGGAUCAGGUAAGGGUGAAAAGGUGCGGUAAGAGCGCACCGGCCGGCCCGUGAGGGCAGGUGCAUGGCAAACCCCAGCGCGUGCAAGGUCACGCAGCUUUCGCCUCCGCAAGGAGGGUGCCUGGUUCGGGCAUGAGGCAACUCCGGGAGCGGGUGGACCGCUUGAGCUUCGCGGCGACGCGGGGCCCAGAGAAAUGGUCGCCACGGUUGGAAGGUGCGCUGGGCUCCCGUCAAGGAUCGAGCGCAAACCGCCAAACGGACAGAACUCGGCUUAACGCCGCAUCGAGCC